rnacentral:rRNA from 1 species
AGAGUUUGAUCCUGGCUCAGGAUAAACGCUGGCGGCGUGCUUAAUGCAUGCAAGUCGAACGGUCCUUCGGGACAGUAGCAAAUGGGUGAGUAACGCGUAAGUAACCUGUCCCUAAGUGGGGGAUAACUUCGGGAAACUGGAGCUAAUACCGCAUGUGAUGGCCCUUCAAAAGAGUGGCUAUUAAAACCUUCGGGUGCUUGGGGAGGGGCUUGUGUCCGAUUAGCUUGUUGGUGAGGUAACGGCCCACCAAGGCAAUGAUCGGUAGCUGGUCUGAGAGGAUGAUCAGCCACACUGGGACUGAGACACGGCCCAGACUCCUACAGGAGGCAACAGCAAGGAAUAUUGUGCAAUGGGCGAAAGCCUGACACAGCGACGCCGCGUGGGGGAAGAAGGCCUUCGGGUUGUAAACCUCUUUUCUCAGGGAAGAAUAAUGACGGUACCUGAGGAAUAAGUCUCGGCUAACUACGUGCCAGCAGCCGCGGUAAUACGUAGGAGGCAAGCGUUAUCCGGAUUUAUUGGGCGUAAAGCGCGUGUAGGCGGCUCUUCAAGUCGGAUGUAAAAUCUCCCGGCUCAACUGGGAGAGACCAUUCGAUACUGCUGGGCUAGAGUGCAGCAGAGGGAGGUGGAAUUCCCGGUGUAGUGGUGAAAUGCGUAGAUAUCGGGAGGAACACCAGUGGCGAAGGCGACCUCCUGGGCUGUAACUGACGCUGAGACGCGAAAGCGUGGGGAGCGAACAGGAUUAGAUACCCUGGUAGUCCACGCGGUAAACGAUGGACACUAGGUAUAGGGAGUAUCGACCCUCUCUGUGCCGUAGCUAACGCAUUAAGUGUCCCGCCUGGGGACUACGGCCGCAAGGCUAAAACUCAAAGGAAUUGACGGGGGCCCGCACAAGCAGCGGAGCGUGUGGUUUAAUUCGAUGCAACACGAAGAACCUUACCAGGGCUUGACAUGUUGGAAGUAGAAACCCGAAAGGGGGACGACCUGUUAAGUCAGGAACCUACACAGGUGCUGCAUGGCUGUCGUCAGCUCGUGCCGUGAGGUGUCGGGUUAAGUCCCAUAACGAGCGCAACCCUCGUCGCUAGUUGAUUUCUCUAGCGAGACUGCCCCGCAAAACGGGGAGGAAGGUGGGGAUGACGUCAAGUCAGCAUGGCCCUUAUGCCCUGGGCUACACACACGCUACAAUGGGUGGUACAAUUGGUGGCAAUGGGGUGAACCCGGAGCUAAUCCUUAAAACCAUCCUCAGUACAGAUUGCAGGCUGAAACCCGCCUGCAUGAAGGUGGAGUUGCUAGUAACCGCGUAUCAGCAUGGCGCGGUGAAUACGUUCUCGGGCCUUGUACACACCGCCCGUCACGUCAUGAAAGUUGGCAACACCUGAAGUCGAUGGGCCAACCUGAUUUAUCGGGAGGUAGUCGCCGAAGGUGGGGCCGAUGAUUGGGACGAAGUCGUAACAAG